ACUAUCAAUCAAAACCUAAGGGACUCAACAGCUCUCAUCUCUCGUGUGAGGUCUUCGAUUUUCGUUUGAAUCUUGUUCGACUUAAAGCAAGUGGUGAACGGUUAGAGAGACAGUUAGACCGGCUUCACCGUCACCUGCAACUCUUUUGACCAAGACACCGUCACCAUUAACGGCUUCCGGUACUGGCGCUUGAAAGGCUUUAUGUUUUGCUGAGCGUUCAAAAGGGGUUUGAAAAGUUUGUGAUGUUGGGAAACAUUAAGCAAAAAUCUAAUGUUCUGUAUUAUCAUAGUAUUAAUUUAGAGUAUAUAUCUUCUAGAGCAGUUUGAAGCCACAUCUUAUACAAGUUUAGCAGAUAAUUUUUAAGGUUGGAUAUAUAUAUUUUUCAAUAUGCUAUGAGUUCCAUACCCUUCUUUCUGGUGUUUUUGCUUUUUAAUCUACUGAAUGUUUUUAUUUUCUAUAGUUGUAUAGAAAGGCGUAGUUGGGUUCUGGAUCAAGUGAUUUAUUGUAUUGUGGUCCUUGAGAAAGACUUCUAGUUGCCUGCAAACAGUGGCGGACCCACGUGUAGUCAUAGUGGGUCCGCGGACCACCUAUUAUUUUAUAAAAAAAAAAAACACUAUGUAUUAAGGAUUUAGCUUGCAGCCUAGUGGUUUUUUUCCCAUCCUACCAUUCAUGAGACGUGGGUUCAAAUCCCAUUACUCACAAUUUUUUUUUUUUUGGCUUUAGAAUGAAAACAUAAGUCAGAACCCCAAUUCCCCCAAAUUAAAACCCUAAGUCCCAAACUCACCUAAAUCGAAAUCCCCAAACUCCAGCAACCCCGUCGCCGUUCACCGCCUCACCGGCCGUUUUUCUUGCUCCUUCUCAACUUCUCACCGUCGCGGCAUCCUAUUAGCUUCAGUCCGUCACUCCGUCAAGCGUUGAGGCGUAGCGUGAGAAGACUGAGAACAGAGGCAGCGUGAGACUUAGUUCAGUCCACUGCCCGCAACCGCAGCAAAACCACUGGCCAGCAACCCCGUCGCCGACCUCGCCAGCAACUUCAGUCGUCUGUCCCGGCGUCCCGCAACCGCAGCAAGGCUCUGCUCAGGCGUGAGUGUGAGGUCUUAAUUCCGUACUCCGUGAAUUCAAUUUUGUUUUGAGAAUGAAAAGAAAAACAACUCGAGAUAUUUCAAGUUUUUUUACUAAAAAAGUGCGUACUCUAAAUCCUCCUCCUCCACAAAAUGAUACUCCUCCUCCACAAAAUGAUACUCCUCCUCCACUAAAUGAUUUACCCUUCAAGAAAGUGAACCAAGUUCUCCUUUACAUCAUGCUAGUGAACAACAUUCUUCCCCAUCUCACAAUUUCACUCAAAAUGAAGAUGGGCAAUCUUUUCCCCGAGGUGGUUCGGAUCCUAGUGCUCAAAUUGGUGAAGGAAGGUUAAGUGCACUUGAUAUUAUUAAUCAAAUUGGUGAUGGAUGAUAUUGUAAAUCGUUAUCAAAAUAUGAAAACUCGUCGAGAGCAAUUGUAAUAAAAUUAAUAAUUUUUUAGUUGUAAUACGAAUUUGCAUUACUUUAUGAAAUGAACUUUUUUAUGUAUUUUUUUUUUGUUCAUUAUACAAGUUUUGACUUUUUUUUGAUACUUUAUGCGGUCGAUGGACGAUGAUGGGACCACCUAUUAAUCAAAUCCUAGAUCCGCCACUGCCUGCAAAUAAUUAGCCAUUGUGACCUUUGUACAUAGUGCUACCUUUAAUGUGAGCCUUUAAUUAAUCUGUGUCAUGAUUCAAGCUAUAUAUUGGCAAAUUUAUGUAUUUGUUCAGACAUAUACAUUGACAUCACUAGUUUGAGUUAAUCAGUUAAGCAUCUCUCUUGAGGGGCUUUCUAUUAUCUUAAGUGGAUUUUAUUGAUCUAACAAUUGUUCUUUUAAGUUUUUCAUGAGAAUUUCUCAUCUUUAGUAUAUAAGAUUGUCUAAUUGGUACAUUAUGAAACAUUAGGUUUAGGUGGUAUUUCUUUUUUUGUUGGUUGAGGUGGAGAAUAGCAACAUUUGCUGAUAUUUGAAACUAUCCUUCCACCCAUUGCCGAUCAUAAUUUUCUUUUUUGGUUUUUCCUGAAAAGCUCUAAUUCUUUAUUAAAUGUAGUUCACUUCAGUGGUUGAGUCAUCAACAUUUAUAGGAUCUCUGAAAUACAUCGGGUGUAUAGGUUAUGAAAUAUAUUAGACUUGUACUUAUUGACAAGAUGCUUUUUUUAUACCCUCGGGGUGAUUUUUUUCUUUUAAUAAUUAUUAA